UAGCAUUUUUCCAGUGUGUGAAAAUCUCUGGCCUCAAAGCACACUUGUGGGAACCCAUAAUUGAGUCUGAGAUCAUCCAACAGCAGCAGAAAGCUCUUACAGCCCCGAGAGCCUCAGGGAGCCAGGAAGCUUACAGAACCUUGCUGAAAAACACGGGAUCUAUAGCUAAAUCCAGAAAGCCCCCGGAGACCAUUUGGACCAACCCCUCCCACAGAAGAUACAGAAUGCCAAAUAUUCCAAUGUAAGGAUGGUCCUGAGAAAAAAGAUCCUUGGAAGUCUUUAGAGUGGUAAUCAUAUGCCAAUGUCCCUGCUGAGAGAUGGUAUAACCUCAUGUUGAACAGCUGCUGUUAGAGUGGUUAAAGCCCUGACCCCUGCCAUUCACUAUGGGAGAAGACAGCAACAGCUUUUCUGCCCCACUGGUGUUCUCUAGGGCUUUCUGACCCAGGUCCUCAUCAGCGCAGUCCCUAGCGUUGAGCCCAGCAACCCUAGGAUCAAGGCCUUGAAAGACAAGGUUUUGGGAUCUCCCAAAGGAGGCUGAUUUCACACAAAGGACCACGGACUGGUAGUCAGAAGACCUGAGUUCUGUUCCCAGCUCCAACACACAUUGCAGCAAGACCGUGGUCAAAUCACUUGCUGUUUCUGAGACUUAUUUUCUUGCUCUGUAAAAAUGAAUCAGUGAACUAAAUCAUCUGAAGUGAUCUCCCCUGACCAGCUCCCUCAGCCCUCACCAACAAAAAACUAAUGUCCAUGAUACAACACUAUUGCUAUUACAUUAUUCAAUUAAUCUUAGUGUGCUUAAUUGAAAGACAAUAAUAACUUUCUCCUAAAACUGGGGCAAAAACUGCAUUAGGUAAUUAACUAAACUGCUUGCCUAGAACAUAGCAGGUGUUCAAUAAUAGGUUUUUACUAUUUGCACUUAUUUGUUAAUGAGAAAGAGAACUAAAAUCUUGUAUUAAAAAGUUGUACUUUGGCUGGGUGCAGUGGCUUACACCUGUAAUCCCAGCACUUUGGGAGGCCAAGGCAGG
rnacentral:lncRNA from 1 species